GUGAAUCAUCGAGUCUUUGAACGCACCUUGCACUCCUUGGUAUUCCGAGGAGUAUGCCUGUUUGAGUGUCUGACUUUCAUCAAUCCUCCUUUACUUUUGUAAUGGUUGGUCUUGGAUUUGGGGAUUGCUGGGCCUCGUGUCUGACUUCCCUUGAAUGCAUUAGUUGAAUUGACUUGCAACGCUAUGUGUGGUGUGAUAAUAUCUUCACUGCAUAGUUGUAAUGAAGUUUGGCUUCUAACUGUCUUUUUCAUUAGACAAUCUUUGACCAUUAGACCUCAAAUCAGGUAGGACUACCCGCUGAACUUAAGCAUAUCAAUAAGCGGAGG
rnacentral:rRNA from 1 species